rnacentral:rRNA from 1 species
CCUACGGGAGGCAGCAGUGAGGAAUAUUGGUCAAUGGACGAGAGUCUGAACCAGCCAAGUAGCGUGAAGGAUGACUGCCCUAUGGGUUGUAAACUUCUUUUAUAAAGGAAUAAAACGAGGCACGUGUGCCUUUUUGCAUGUACUUUAUGAAUAAUGAUCGGCUAACUCCGUGCCAGCAGCCGCGGUAAUACGGAGGAUCCGAGCGUUAUCCGGAUUUAUUGGGUUUAAGGGGAGCGUAGAUGGGUUGUUAAGUCAGUUGUGAAAGGUUGCGGCUCAACCGUAAAAUUGCAAUUGAUACUGGCAGUCUUGAGUACAGUUGAGGUAGGCGGAAUUCGUGGUGUAGCGGUGAAAUGCUUAGAUAUCACGAAGAACCCCGAUUGCGAAGGCAGCUUACUAAACUGUGACUGACAUUGAUGCUCGAAAGUGUGGGUAUCAAACAGGAUUAGAUACCCGAGUAGUC